GCCUUCGUGGUGUAGCGUUCAACACGCUCGACCUGUAACCAAGAAGUCCGUGGUUUGAUUCCCGGCGAAGGCG
rnacentral:tRNA from 1 species